rnacentral:rRNA from 1 species
UACGGGGGGGGCAAGCGUUGUUCGGAAUUACUGGGCGUAAAGGGCUCGUAGGCGGCCAACUAAGUCAGACGUGAAAUCCCUCGGCUUAACCGGGGAACUGCGUCUGAUACUGGAUGGCUUGAGGUUGGGAGAGGGAUGCGGAAUUCCAGGUGUAGCGGUGAAAUGCGUAGAUAUCUGGAGGAACACCGGUGGCGAAGGCGGCAUCCUGGACCAAUUCUGACGCUGAGGAGCGAAGGCCAGGGGAGCAAAUGGG